UUAAGCGACUAAGCGUACACGGUGGAUGCCUAGGCAGUCAGAGGCGAUGAAGGGCGUGCUAAUCUGCGAAAAGCGUCGGUAAGCUGAUAUGAAGCGUUAUAACCGACGAUACCCGAAUGGGGAAACCCAGUGCAAUACGUUGCACUAUCGUUAGAUGAAUACAUAGUCUAACGAGGCGAACCGGGGGAACUGAAACAUCUAAGUACCCCGAGGAAAAGAAAUCAACCGAGAUUCCCCCAGUAGCGGCGAGCGAACGGGGAGGAGCCCAGAGUCUGAAUCAGUUUGUGUGUUAGUGGAAGCGUCUGGAAAGUCGCACGGUACAGGGUGAUAGUCCCGUACACCAAAAUGCACAGGCUGUGAACUCGAUGAGUAGGGCGGGACACGUGACAUCCUGUCUGAAUAUGGGGGGACCAUCCUCCAAGGCUAAAUACUCCUGACUGACCGAUAGUGAACCAGUACCGUGAGGGAAAGGCGAAAAGAACCCCGGCGAGGGGAGUGAAAUAGAACCUGAAACCGUGUACGUACAAGCAGUGGGAGCACCUUCGUGGUGUGACUGCGUACCUUUUGUAUAAUGGGUCAGCGACUUAUAUUUUGUAGCAAGGUUAACCGAAUAGGGGAGCCGUAGGGAAACCGAGUCUUAACUGGGCGUCUAGUUGCAAGGUAUAGACCCGAAACCCGGUGAUCUAGCCAUGGGCAGGUUGAAGGUUGGGUAACACUAACUGGAGGACCGAACCGACUAAUGUUGAAAAAUUAGCGGAUGACUUGUGGCUGGGGGUGAAAGGCCAAUCAAACCGGGAGAUAGCUGGUUCUCCCCGAAAGCUAUUUAGGUAGCGCCUCGUGAACUCAUCUUCGGGGGUAGAGCACUGUUUCGGCUAGGGGGCCAUCCCGGCUUACCAAACCGAUGCAAACUCCGAAUACCGAAGAAUGUUAUCACGGGAGACACACGGCGGGUGCUAACGUCCGUCGUGAAGAGGGAAACAACCCAGACCGCCAGCUAAGGUCCCAAAGUCAUGGUUAAGUGGGAAACGAUGUGGGAAGGCACAGACAGCCAGGAUGUUGGCUUAGAAGCAGCCAUCAUUUAAAGAAAGCGUAAUAGCUCACUGGUCGAGUCGGCCUGCGCGGAAGAUGUAACGGGGCUAAACCAUGCACCGAAGCUGCGGCAGCGACACUUAGGUGUUGUUGGGUAGGGGAGCGUUCUGUAAGCCGUUGAAGGUGACCUGUGAGGGUUGCUGGAGGUAUCAGAAGUGCGAAUGCUGACAUAAGUAACGAUAAUGCGGGUGAAAAACCCGCACGCCGGAAGACCAAGGGUUCCUGUCCAACGUUAAUCGGGGCAGGGUGAGUCGACCCCUAAGGCGAGGCUGAAAAGCGUAGUCGAUGGGAAACAGGUUAAUAUUCCUGUACUUGGUGUUACUGCGAAGGGGGACGGAGAAGGCUAGGCUGGCCGGGCGACGGUUGUCCCGGUUUAAGCGUGUAGGGGGAGUGACCAGGUAAAUCCGGUUGCUUAUCAACCCUGAGGCGUGAUGACGAUGCACUACGGUGCAGAAGCAGUUGAUGCCAUGCUUCCAGGAAAAGCCUCUAAGCAUCAGGUAACAUUAAAUCGUACCCCAAACCGACACAGGUGGUCAGGUAGAGAAUACUCAGGCGCUUGAGAGAACUCGGGUGAAGGAACUAGGCAAAAUGGUGCCGUAACUUCGGGAGAAGGCACGCUGGCGUUAGGUGAAAGGACUAGCUCCUGGAGCUGAAGCCAGUCGCAGAUACCAGCUGGCUGCAACUGUUUAAUAAAACACAGCACUGUGCAAACACGAAAGUGGACGUAUACGGUGUGACGCCUGCCCGGUGCUGGAAGGUUAAUUGAUGGGUCAGCCGCAAGGCGAAGCUCUUGAUCGAAGCCCCAGUAAACGGCGGCCGUAACUAUAACGGUCCUAAGGUAGCGAAAUUCCUUGUCGGGUAAGUUCCGACCUGCACGAAUGGCGUAAUGAUGGCCAGGCUGUCUCCACCCGAGACUCAGUGAAAUUGAACUCGCUGUGAAGAUGCAGUGUACCCGCGGCAAGACGGAAAGACCCCGUGAACCUUUACUAUAGCUUGACACUGAACAUUGAGCCUUGAUGUGUAGGAUAGGUGGAGGCCUUGAAGUGUGGACGCCAGUCUGCAUGGAGCCAACCUUGAAAUACCACCCUUUAAUGUUUGAUGUUCUAACUCGGCCCCAUGAUCUGGGGUGAGGACAGUGUCUGGUGGGUAGUUUGACUGGGGCGGUCUCCUCCCAAAGAGUAACGGAGGAGCACGAAGGUUAGCUAAUCACGGUCGGACAUCGUGAGGUUAGUGCAAAGGCAUAAGCUAGCUUGACUGCGAGAGUGACGGCUCGAGCAGGUACGAAAGUAGGUCUUAGUGAUCCGGUGGUUCUGAAUGGAAGGGCCAUCGCUCAACGGAUAAAAGGUACUCCGGGGAUAACAGGCUGAUACCGCCCAAGAGUUCAUAUCGACGGCGGUGUUUGGCACCUCGAUGUCGGCUCAUCACAUCCUGGGGCUGAAGUAGGUCCCAAGGGUAUGGCUGUUCGCCAUUUAAAGUGGUACGCGAGCUGGGUUUAGAACGUCGUGAGACAGUUCGGUCCCUAUCUGCCGUGGGCGUUGGAAGAUUGAGAGGGGCUGCUCCUAGUACGAGAGGACCGGAGUGGACGAAUCACUGGUGUUCGGGUUGUCAUGCCAAUGGCAUUGCCCGGUAGCUAAAUUCGGAAGAGAUAACCGCUGAAAGCAUCUAAGCGGAAACUUGCCUCGAGAUGAGUCUUCCCUGGGGCUUAAAGCCCCCUGAAGGAACGUUAAAGACUAUGACGUUGAUAGGCUGGGUGUGUAAGUGCAGCGAUGUAUUGAGCUAACCAGUACUAAUGAUCCGUGAGGCUUAACCUU
rnacentral:rRNA from 1 species